rnacentral:rRNA from 1 species
CACGUAGGGCGCGAGCGUUGUCCGGAAUUAUUGGGCGUAAAGAGCUCGUAGGCGGCUUGUCACGUCGGAUGUGAAAGCCCGGGGCUUAACCCCGGGUCUGCAUUCGAUACGGGCAGGCUAGAGUGUGGUAGGGGAGAUCGGAAUUCCUGGUGUAGCGGUGAAAUGCGCAGAUAUCAGGAGGAACACCGGUGGCGAAGGCGGAUCUCUGGGCCAUUACUGACGCUGAGGAGCGAAAGCGUGGGGAGCGAACAGG